rnacentral:rRNA from 1 species
CACUAUCGUUAACUGAAUACAUAGGUUAACGAGGCGAACCGGGGGAACUGAAACAUCUAAGUACCCCGAGGAAAAGAAAUCAACCGAGAUUCCCCCAGUAGCGGCGAGCGAACGGGGAGCAGCCCGGAGUCUGAAUCAGCUUGUGUGUUAGUGGAACGGUCUGGAAAGUCCGACGGUACAGGGUGAUAGUCCCGUACACGAAAACACACUUGCUGUGAACUCGAAGAGUAGGGCGGGACACGUGGUAUCCUGUCUGAAUAUGGGGGGACCAUCCUCCAAGGCUAAAUACUCCUGACUGACCGAUAGUGAACCAGUACCGUGAGGGAAAGGCGAAAAGAACCCCGGCGAGGGGAGUGAAAAAGAACCUGAAACCGUGUACGUACAAGCAGUGGGAGCCUCUUUAUGGGGUGACUGCGUACCUUUUGUAUAAUGGGUCAGCGACUUAUAUUCUGUAGCAAGGUUAACCGUAUAGGGGAGCCGAAGGGAAACCGAGUCUUAACUGGGCGUUAAGUUGCAGGGUAUAGACCCGAAACCCGGUGAUCUAGCCAUGGGCAGGUUGAAGGUUGGGUAACACUAACUGGAGGACCGAACCGACUAAUGUUGAAAAAUUAGCGGAUGACCUGUGGCUGGGGGUGAAAGGCCAAUCAAACCGGGAGAUAGCUGGUUCUCCCCGAAAGCUAUUUAGGUAGCGCCUCGUGAACUCAUCUUCGGGGGUAGAGCACUGUUUCGGCUAGGGGGCCAUCCCGGCUUACCAACCCGAUGCAAACUACGAAUACCGAAGAAUGUUAUCACGGGAGACACACGGCGGGUGCUAACGUCCGUCGUGAAGAGGGAAACAACCCAGACCGCCAGCUAAGGUCCCAAAGUCAUGGUUAAGUGGGAAACGAUGUGGGAAGGCACAGACAGCCAGGAUGUUGGCUUAGAAGCAGCCAUCAUUUAAAGAAAGCGUAAUAGCUCACUGGUCGAGUCGGCCUGCGCGGAAGAUGUAACGGGGCUAAACCAUGCACCGAAGCUGCGGCAGCGACACUAUGUGUUGUUGGGUAGGGGAGCGUUCUGUAAGCCGUUGAAGGUGUGCUGUGAGGCAUGCUGGAGGUAUCAGAAGUGCGAAUGCUGACAUAAGUAACGAUAAAGCGGGUGAAAAGCCCGCUCGCCGGAAGACCAAGGGUUCCUGUCCAACGUUAAUCGGGGCAGGGUGAGUCGACCCCUAAGGCGAGGCCGAAAGGCGUAGUCGAUGGGAAACAGGUUAAUAUUCCUGUACUUGGUGUUACUGCGAAGGGGGGACGGAGAAGGCUAUGUCAGCCGGGCGACGGUUGUCCCGGUUUAAGCAUGUAGGCGGAGGUUCCAGGUAAAUCCGGUACCUUUUAACGCUGAGGUGUGAUGACGAGGCACUACGGUGCUGAAGUGAUAAAUGCCCUGCUUCCAGGAAAAGCCUCUAAGCAUCAGGUAACACGAAAUCGUACCCCAAACCGACACAGGUGGUCAGGUAGAGAAUACCAAGGCGCUUGAGAGAACUCGGGUGAAGGAACUAGGCAAAAUGGUGCCGUAACUUCGGGAGAAGGCACGCUGAUAUGUAGGUGAAGCCCCUGCGGGCGGAGCUGAAAUCAGUCGAAGAUACCAGCUGGCUGCAACUGUUUAUUAAAAACACAGCACUGUGCAAACACGAAAGUGGACGUAUACGGUGUGACGCCUGCCCGGUGCCGGAAGGUUAAUUGAUGGGGUUAGCGGCAACGCGAAGCUCUUGAUCGAAGCCCCGGUAAACGGCGGCCGUAACUAUAACGGUCCUAAGGUAGCGAAAUUCCUUGUCGGGUAAGUUCCGACCUGCACGAAUGGCGUAAUGAUGGCCAGGCUGUCUCCACCCGAGACUCAGUGAAAUUGAACUCGCUGUGAAGAUGCAGUGUACCCGCGGCAAGACGGAAAGACCCCGUGAACCUUUACUAUAGCUUGACACUGAACACUGGUCCUUGAUGUGUAGGAUAGGUGGGAGGCUUUGAAGCGUGGACGCCAGUCUGCGUGGAGCCAUCCUUGAAAUACCACCCUUUAAUGGCUGGUGUUCUAACGUAGACCCGUGAUCCGGGUUGCGGACAGUGUCUGGUGGGUAGUUUGACUGGGGCGGUCUCCUCCCAAAGAGUAACGGAGGAGCACGAAGGUUGGCUAAUCCUGGUCGGACAUCAGGAGGUUAGUGCAAUGGCAUAAGCCAGCUUGACUGCGAGCGUGACGGCGCGAGCAGGUGCGAAAGCAGGUCAUAGUGAUCCGGUGGUUCUGAAUGGAAGGGCCAUCGCUCAACGGAUAAAAGGUACUCCGGGGAUAACAGGCUGAUACCGCCCAAGAGUUCAUAUCGACGGCGGUGUUUGGCACCUCGAUGUCGGCUCAUCACAUCCUGGGGCUGAAGUAGGUCCCAAGGGUAUGGCUGUUCGCCAUUUAAAGUGGUACGCGAGCUGGGUUUAGAACGUCGUGAGACAGUUCGGUCCCUAUCUGCCGUGGGCGCUGGAGAAUUGAGGGGGGCUGCUCCUAGUACGAGAGGACCGGAGUGGACGCAUCACUGGUGUUCGGGUUGUCAUGCCAAUGGCACUGCCCGGUAGCUAAAUGCGGAAGAGAUAAGUGCUGAAAGCAUCUAAGCACGAAACUUGCCCCGAGAUGAGUUCUCCCUGAGACUUUAAGUCUCCUGAAGGAACGUUGAAGACGACGACGUUGAUAGGUCGGGUGUGUAAGCGCAGCGAUGCGUUGAGCUAACCGAUACUAAUGAACCGUGAGGCUUAACCUU